CACUCACCGUGAGGGUUGGUGGCUUCAUUCCAGAAGUCAGCGAGACCAAGAACCUACCAAUUCCGGACACAGUUUCCAUUCCUGAUGCUUCGCUCCUGAAUUGAAUAACUCGUCUAGGACAACCUUUCCGUCUGUGAGCAUUUGUAAUAGAACGUUUUCCAAGCAACACCAAUGCCUGCGUCCUUUGGUGACAAAGGGCCUGGAUGCAGUCGGGGGACAUAUCAAAUGAAGGUGCAUGCAAGUGAC